rnacentral:rRNA from 1 species
GCACAAGCGGUGGAUGAUGUGGAUUAAUUCGAUGCAACGCGAAAACCUUACCUACCCUUGACAUGUCCGGAAUCCCGAAGAGAUUUGGGAGUGCUCGCAAGAGAACCGGAACACAGGUGCUGCAUGGCUGUCGUCAGCUCGUGUCGUGAGAUGUUGGGUUAGGUCCCGCAACGAGCGCAACCCUUGUCAUUAGUUGCCAUCAUUUGGUUGGGCACUCUAAUGAGACUGCCGGUGACAAACCGGAGGAAGGUGGGGAUGACGUCAAGUCCUCAUGGCCCUUAUGUCUUGGGCUUCACGCAUGCUACAAUGGCCGGUACAAAGGGCUGCGAUACCGCGAGGUGGAGCGAAUCCCAGAAAGCCGGUCUCAGUUCGGAUUGGGGUCUGCAACUCGACCCCAUGAAGUCGGAGUCGCUAGUAAUCGCAGAUCAGCAACGCUGCGGUGAAUACGUUCCCGGGCCUU